UACGAAGGGGCGAGCGUUGUUCGGAAUUACUGGCGUAAAGCGCGUGUAGCGGAUGGCAAGUCUGCUGUGAAGCUCCUGGCUUAACCGGAGUGGUCGGUGGAACUGCCAAUCUGGAGGACGGUAGAGGUAGGUAGAAUUCCGGUGUAGUGGUGAAAUGCGUAGAGAUCGGAGGAUACCUGUGGCGAAGCGGUCUCUGGACAGUUCCUGACACUGAGACACGAAGCCAGGGAGCAACGG
rnacentral:rRNA from 1 species